AGCACUUCACGAAGGAUUGCCUUCAGCACAUCGACUGACGCGCGCGCAACGGCGCGUGACGCCGUUCAGUUUUCACUGGACGGCGUUUUUUUGUU
rnacentral:sRNA from 1 species